rnacentral:rRNA from 1 species
GCUAGUAAUCGCAGAUCAGAAUGCUGCGGUGAAUACGUUCCCGGGUCUUGUACACACCGCCCGUCACACCAUGGGAGUCGGGAAUGCCCGAAGUCAGUGACCCAACCGCAAGGAGGGAGCUGCCGAAGGCAGGUCGGAUGACUGGGGUGAAGUCGUAACAAGGUAAC